rnacentral:rRNA from 1 species
CAUGCUUAACACAUGCAAGUCGAACGAGAAAGUACCUCCGGGUGCGAGUAAAGUGGCGGACGGGUGAGUAACGCGUGGGAAUCUGCCUAGUAGUGGGGGAUAACAAUCGGAAACGGUUGCUAAUACCGCAUGUACCCUACGGGGGAAAGGCUUCGGCCGCUAUUAGAUGAGCCCGCGUAAGAUUAGCUUGUUGGUGGGGUAAAGGCCUACCAAGGCGACGAUCGGUAGCUGGUCUGAGAGGAUGAUCAGCCACACUGGGACUGAGACACGGCCCAGACUCC